GUAACUUCACCCUAGCCUCUGAUUGGCUGCCUUUUGCAACCAAUCAGAUGUCUGUACAAGAAUGUGACCUUUGUAACUUUACUUUAGCCUCUGAUUGUCUGCUUUCUGUAACCAGUCAGACUGAUUGCAGGCUAUCACUUCAUUUACAUGAGGUGAGCAUGAAGUGGCUGAUGGGAAACACCUAGGUGGUAUGUGGAACCAAGAAGAUUCUGUAUCCAGACCCUCCAGCCACUGCUCGGGCCUGCUCCCACACUGUGGAGUGUACUUUCAUUUUCAAUAAAUCCCUGCUUUCGUUCUUUUGUUGCUUCAUUCUUUGCUUUGCUGGGCAUUUUGUCCAAUUCUUUGUUCAAAAUGCCAAGAACCUGGACAACUUGCAGUAAGGACCCUCUACCAGUGACAUAUCUUUGCAAUCCAGCCAGGAGAAAAGAGACCAUCACGCUUCAGAUGAUCAUGUGACAAGGUUUCCAGCCAGCUCCAGGUGAAGGCACCACCCCCCCAGCCAUCAAGGAGCCACCUGUCUCCACUAGACAGAAUAGGGUGAGAAUUCCAUGAUCUCCAAAAGGUAGAGACUACUUCCCAAGUCAGCAGGAAGCAGUUACAGAAGAAAGACCUUCAGUCCCUCUGCCUCCCAUAAAGAUUUAUGGGGAUCACGUCUCUCAAGGGCGUGAUGAGGCAGGAGAAUAGGGUCUGGAAGCAGGGAACCUAAGGCUCUUUCACACUGACUUCCUAGAACUAAAUUGAAAGGAAAACCUUAACUUUCCACACGAAGUAACAAAAGGAACAGAGGCUACCCCCUUUGACCUUUUCUGCACUGCAGACGGGAAACUGGCUAUCUGCAACUAAUCAGACUGAUUUUGGGCCAAAUCCUCAUUUUCACAGAAGUAUAACCUUGUAACUUCAUCCUAGCCUCUACUUGGUUGCUUUUUUGCAACCAAUCAGAUGUUCGCACAAGACUGUGACCUUUGUACCUUCACUUCAGCCUCUGGUUGGCUGCUUUCUGCAACCAAUCAGACUGACUGUGGGAUACCACUUCAUUUACAUGAGGUGAGAAUGAAGCAGUCAAUGGGAAGCUUCUAGGGGGUAUUUGGACCCAAGAAGAUUCUGUAUCUAGGCUCUUGAGCCACUGCUGGGGCCUGCUCCCACACUGUGGAGUGUACUUUUGUUUUCAAUAAAUCCCCACUUUCAUUCUUUUGUUACUUCAUUCUUUCUUGCUUUCCUGAGCAUUUUGUCCAAUUCUUUGUUCAAAAUGCCAUGAGCUAGACAACUUGCAGUCACGCCCCUCCACCAGUGACUCUUAGAUGCUUCUAAAGAAGCUUUCUUCAAACUAUUUACAUUAAAUAAGCAUUGAUUUGUUGGUAAAUUUUAAAAAUUGAUAAAUAAAAAAGGUUUUUUGUUCAUGUGAACAGGAUGACUUGCAUCAAAUAUGAUUUAUUUUGCUUAGUCACAGAAAUCACAUGGUUUUAUUUUUAUUUUAAAACAUACUUGGAUCUUUUUCUGUACCUUACAAUUUAAAAAACAAAACGUGCUAAGUCAUCAUUAAAAAUAUUCACUUCUUUCUUCCUUUAAGAAAAGUUAUGCAGGAGGGCAAAUAUUCAAAAUGCAUGAUAUAUGUUAAGAAAAAUGUGAAAUGAGAAGGGAGAAGAGAAGGAUAAUAGGAUAAUAAAAAUGUGUGCCAUUUGGCAUUUUUAAAUUAAUGGGCAAUCAAUUUGACCACCUAUUUAGAAAUUUAUUCAUUAUCCAAAAUGGCUGAGGCUACACAGGCUGCUGCUUUUGUCAAACUGUCAGUAGCAGCCACUGCAAAUACCUCAAAAAUGUUAAUAGAAUAGGGCUUGCUCAACACUCAGGACAGUGCUAGGGCUAGGGCUCCUGUGGG
rnacentral:lncRNA from 1 species